CGGGCGGGGCCGCGCCCUGCAGGUCGGGGCUCAGAGCGCCCGGGGCGCCAAGCCUGGUAAUGGGACUUUGCUCCCUCCCUGGGCGAGCCCGGGGGCUGGAUCUGAGGCCAAAGCGACGUCUCAGGGUAGCGUUUACGAGCGAAGCUGUUCCACGCGCGACCCAGAGUUCGCUCCUUGAGAAGUGACAAGCCUCAUGCCAGCAUCAAGGACAAGUGAUGAACAAAACAGACUUUCAUGUGUCUCCGUCCUCUAUGGCACAUGGACUCUGCUGUCAUCACACUGGCCUGCAAGCGUACUUGGACUUGGCAAGGAGUUGCCCUUGAAAGCUCAGAAGUGAAAAUGCUACUGCAAAGGCAAGGAUGGGGUCAACAUCCAACUUCUAGCUUCUAUAGUCCUUUAUUAGCAUUAAAAGCUGACACCAUACAAUUAAGUUAACACACUUACUUCAGAGAUACACCAACAGAGUAGCAUUGCCUCAGUCUCUGGGAAAGUGUGUCAUUGGUUAUUAAAAACACUAAAAUUUUUACCAGGUCAUUAAUAUUGAAGAGUUGAACAUCAAGUUGGAUUUCUUUGAUGGGUGUAAUCAAAGUAGCAUUUUUAAUGCUGAAGAGAGUUUAACAGUCUUUGUUCAAUGAAUGAUAAGUAGAAAGGGAUCAUGGAGCACUCUUAGUCUAAUAGAUUCAUUUUAAUAUUGGAAAAUGGAGAUCUAAAAGUAAUAACUAGAUGAAUGUCACAUUGCCACUUUAAGAUUCAAACUUCAGAUACCUUGAUUUUCAAUUUAGUUUAUUUCUAAUUAGCUAAUAAUUCCCAGACUAUUCUCCCUCAAAAUAAAAUACUAAUCCUCUCUCCAUUAGCAGGGAGAAAAAUGUAUUUAGUGAUUCUCAAACUGAUCAAACCCAAACUUUUAUUUUUAUAAGAAAUAUUUUAA